GGAGUACUCGUCUCGAAGAAACUGCGACAGUACAAUAUUCUAACAGCUCCUAGAGCUAAAUCAGGUAGUUAAAACUGGUGACAGGUCCAAAUCGCAGGUUUUCUCCUAAUUCAAUUUUCAAGUCCAACAUGUAUAAUCUAUUUACUUGAUAAAAUAUGCUCGAAAAUUCAGAUUUUACAUUCUAACAAUAAUCCAUGAAUUUGAGCUAACA
rnacentral:lncRNA from 1 species